UGGAGGCAGCAGUAAGGAAUCUUGCACAAUGGGGGAAACCCUGAUGCAGCGACGCCGCGUGAGCGAUGAAGCCCUUCGGGGUGUAAAGCUCUUUCGGCAGGGACGAUAAUGACGGUACCUGCAGAAGCAGCUGCGGCUAACUACGUGCCAGCAGCCGCGGUAAUACGUAGGCAGCGAGCGUUGUUCGGAGUUACUGGGCGUAAAGGGUGUGUAGGCGGUUGUUUAAGUUUGGUGUGAAAUCUCCCGGCUCAACUGGGAGGGUGCGCCGAAUACUGAAUGACUCGAGUGCGGGAGAGGAGAGUGGAAUUCCUGGUGUAGCGGUGAAAUGCGUAGAUAUCAGGAGGAACACCGGUGGUGUAGACGGCUCUCUGGACAGUAACUGACGCUGAGACACGAAAGCGUGGGUAGCAAACAGGAUUAGAUACCCUAGU
rnacentral:rRNA from 1 species